GGGAUUAGAUACCCCACUAUGCACAGCCCUAAACUUUGAUAGUCAAGUACACCCACUAUCCGCCUGGGUACUACAAGCCCUAGCUUAAAAUCCAAAGGACUUGGCGGUGCUUUAGAUCCACCUAGAGGAGCCUGUCCUAGAACCGACAACCCCCGUUAAACCUCACCCUCCCUUGUUUAUUUCCCGCCUAUAUACCGCCGUCGUCAGCUUACCCUGUGAAGGAUUAAUAGUAAGCAAAGCCAGCACAGCUCAAAACGCCAGGUCGAGGUGUAGCGCAUGAGAGGGGAAGAGAUGGGCUACAUUCCCUAACCCAGGUAAUACGAAAAAUGCAAUGAAAAAAGCAUUAGAAGGAGGAUUUAGCAGUAAGAAGAAAACAGAGUGUUCUACUGAAACUGGCCCUGAAGCGCGCACACACCGCCCGUCACCCUAA
rnacentral:rRNA from 1 species